GACGAACGCUGGCGGCGUGCUUAACACAUGCAAGUCGAACGGUAAGGCCCCUUCGGGGGUACACGAGUGGCGAACGGGUGAGUAACACGUGGGUAAUCUGCCCUGCACUUCGGGAUAAGCCUGGGAAACUGGGUCUAAUACCGGAUAUGAACUCCUGCCGCAUGGUGGGGGUUGGAAAGUUUUUCGGUGCAGGAUGAGCCCGCGGCCUAUCAGCUUGUUGGUGGGGUAAUGGCCUACCAAGGCGACGACGGGUAGCCGGCUGAGAGGUGAUCGGCCACACUGGGACUGAGACACGGCCCAGACUCCUACGGGAGGCAGCAGUGGGGAAGUAUUGCACAAUGGGCGAAAGCCUGAUGCAGCGACGCCGC
rnacentral:rRNA from 1 species